AGACGGAGGAGGACAUUGACCACAAGUCUGAGGAGGACAGCAUAGUCGAAGAACUGAGCCAAGAUGAUCAGAGUGACAUUGACAUUGAGGCGGUACAUUUAGUGGAGGUUGAAAGCAACAUCAGCAGCUUCACCAAUAUGAGGAAACCAGCGGCAUGUGCAGCAGUCCAUGAGGACCAGUCUGGGCAACAGUCAGCAAAGCCAAAAGGUAAUUAUACUGAUAUUACAAUUUGUCAGAUUUACUUAAAUAAAUAAAUAAAUAAAUAAUAAUAUAUAUUUUUUAAAUGCACUGAUACAUCAUUUAAUCCCCUUUACCUUGUUUAAUGACCCAAACAGACAUGGCAAAGGGACAGAAGGAUGGUGAUAUGAAGGCAGAAAUAUUGAGGGUGGAAGAACAAGGGAAGAGAGUUCAAGAAAACAGCCAGAAGCAUAAGACAAAACAGGAGCAAGAGACAAUGGAGUUAAAUAUAGGCAGAGAAAGAAUGGAAGAAGAGAUAAAGAUGAUGGAUGCAGAACAUGAUAAAGCCAAUAUGUCAAGGAGACUGGAAGAGAAGAGUAUGAGUGCUCUGGAAGAAGAAGAGGAGAAGAGGAGGGUAGAGGAGGAAGUUGAGACAGAGAUGGUGAAAGGACAUCCCUCCCCUGCAGAGAAGUUAGAGUCUGAUGAUAAAGUCUUGAGAGUCCCAGAAGAAUGUGAAAAAGAAGGAAAGAAAGGCAGGAAUAAAGGCAAGGAGAUCCUGACGGAGGACAAAGAACCUAUGAUGAAGCCCGAAAAGACAGCACAUGCAAAUUCAGAG
ensembl:lncRNA